CGACUUCAGCGCGCAAGGUAUGCUGUAUCAUUUCUAGAUGCAAGCUGCUAUUUUUGGGAACAAAGAAUAGAGCGGUGAAGGAUUCUGAAGAAACUCAUAUAAGGGGUAUUAAUGGUGGCAGAAAACAAACGGAAUUGCAGUGCCCAGGGAGGUGCAAUGGCCAAAGAAGCUGCUGUGAUGAUUGGACAGACGAAAAGGAAAUGUAAAGAAGGGAAAUCAAGGUUAUGCUAUCUCUCUAUUUGGCAGUGGUGUUACUGCUACUAAAGUAGCCCCAUUCAGUUAUCUGCAGUUCGAGAAGGAUGAUGAUAAAUUGGAGACACUACAGAGAAGAGUACUGAUAAUGAUUAAAGGAUUGGAAAAUGGCUUAUUUUCAAAGAUAGUGAUCUGUUUAACUUAUCAAUGAAGCAACUUAUCAGUCUAGAAGAACUGAUGUGUGGGAAAAGAGCUAACAGAGAACUCUUCACUCUGUACACUCUCCUCUGUAGGGAGGAUCUGCAGCUGGAAGUUAAAGACAACGCAGGCAUAAAUCCUGCAGAUCCAGACUUCUCAGAAGUGGUGUUUUUGAGGUGUCAAAAUGUCUGGUUGGCUAUCUAAUUAAAUAUCAAGGACAAUAACAAUCUAACUCUGGCUUAGAUAAAUUACAUCUCUAACUCUGUCAGCCAUGAAAGAUUGAAAAAAGCAUAACCGAGAUAUGUGAGGUAAGCACAGUUUUUUCAUAAAUGUACCAAAAGUGGAACUGAAAGUACACUUGAAUUUAUAGUGUUUAAAUUUACCAUUUUUAAGUAAAACUUUGAAUUCAAAAUAACCAUUA
rnacentral:lncRNA from 1 species